rnacentral:rRNA from 1 species
UUUGGUUAAGUUAGAAAGGGCGCACGGUGGAUGCCUUGACACUAGGAGUCGAUGAAGGACGGGACUAACGCCGAUAUGCUUCGGGGAGCUGUAAGUAAGCUUUGAUCCGAAGAUUUCCGAAUGGGGAAACCCACCAUACGUAAUGGUAUGGUAUCCUUAUCUGAAUACAUAGGGUAAGGAAGACAGACCCAGGGAACUGAAACAUCUAAGUACCUGGAGGAAGAGAAAGCAAAUGCGAUUUCCUGAGUAGCGGCGAGCGAAACGGAACAUAGCCCAAACCAAGAGGCUUGCCUCUUGGGGUUGUAGGACAUUCUAUACGGAGUUACAAAGGAACGAGGUAGACGAAGCGACCUGGAAAGGUCCGUCGUAGAGGGUAACAACCCCGUAGUCGAAACUUCGUUCUCUCUUGAAUGUAUCCUGAGUACGGCGGAACACGUGAAAUUCCGUCGGAAUCUGGGAGGACCAUCUCCCAAGGCUAAAUACUCCCUAGUGAUCGAUAGUGAACCAGUACCGUGAGGGAAAGGUGAAAAGCACCCCGGAAGGGGAGUGAAAGAGAUCCUGAAACGGUGUGCCUACAAAUAGUCAGAGCCCGUUAACGGGUGAUGGCGUGCCUUUUGUAGAAUGAACCGGCGAGUUACGAUCCCGUGCGAGGUUAAGCUGAAGAGGCGGAGCCGCAGCGAAAGCGAGUCUGAAUAGGGCGUUUAGUACGUGGUCGUAGACCCGAAACCAGGUGAUCUACCCAUGUCCAGGGUGAAGUUCAGGUAACACUGAAUGGAGGCCCGAACCCACGCACGUUGAAAAGUGCGGGGAUGAGGUGUGGGUAGCGGAGAAAUUCCAAUCGAACCUGGAGAUAGCUGGUUCUCCCCGAAAUAGCUUUAGGGCUAGCCUUAAGUGUAAGAGUCUUGGAGGUAGAGCACUGAUUGGACUAGGGGUCCUCAUCGGAUUACCGAAUUCAGUCAAACUCCGAAUGCCAAUGACUUAUCCUUAGGAGUCAGACUGCGAGUGAUAAGAUCCGUAGUCAAAAGGGAAACAGCCCAGACCGCCAGCUAAGGUCCCAAAGUGUGUAUUAAGUGGAAAAGGAUGUGGAGUUGCUUAGACAACUAGGAUGUUGGCUUAGAAGCAGCCACCAUUUAAAGAGUGCGUAAUAGCUCACUAGUCGAGUGACUCUGCGCCGAAAAUGUACCGGGGCUAAAUACACCACCGAAGCUGCGGAUUGAUACCAAUGGUAUCAGUGGUAGGGGAGCGUUCUAAGGACAGUGAAGUCAGACCGGAAGGACUGGUGGAGUGCUUAGAAGUGAGAAUGCCGGUAUGAGUAGCGAAAGACGGGUGAGAAUCCCGUCCACCGAAUGCCUAAGGUUUCCUGAGGAAGGCUCGUCCGCUCAGGGUUAGUCAGGACCUAAGCCGAGGCCGACAGGCGUAGGCGAUGGACAACAGGUUGAUAUUCCUGUACCACCUCUUUAUCGUUUGAGCAAUGGAGGGACGCAGAAGGAUAGAAGAAGCGUGCGAUUGGUUGUGCACGUCCAAGCAGUUAGGCUGAUAAGUAGGCAAAUCCGCUUAUCGUAAAGGCUGAGCUGUGAUGGGGAAGCUCCUUAUGGAGCAAAGUCUUUGAUUCCCCGCUGCCAAGAAAAGCUUCUAGCGAGAUAAAAGGUGCCUGUACCGCAAACCGACACAGGUAGGCGAGGAGAGAAUCCUAAGGUGUGCGAGAGAACUCUGGUUAAGGAACUCGGCAAAAUGACCCCGUAACUUCGGGAGAAGGGGUGCUUUCUUAACGGAAAGCCGCAGUGAAUAGGCCCAAGCGACUGUUUAGCAAAAACACAGCUCUCUGCGAAGCCGUAAGGCGAAGUAUAGGGGGUGACACCUGCCCGGUGCUGGAAGGUUAAGGAGAGGGGUUAGCGUAAGCGAAGCUCUGAACUGAAGCCCCAGUAAACGGCGGCCGUAACUAUAACGGUCCUAAGGUAGCGAAAUUCCUUGUCGGGUAAGUUCCGACCCGCACGAAAGGUGUAACGAUUUGGGCACUGUCUCAACCAGAGACUCGGUGAAAUUAUAGUACCUGUGAAGAUGCAGGUUACCCGCGACAGGACGGAAAGACCCCGUGGAGCUUUACUGUAGCCUGAUAUUGAAUUUUGGUACAGUUUGUACAGGAUAGGCGGGAGCCAUUGAAACCGGAGCGCUAGCUUCGGUGGAGGCGCUGGUGGGAUACCGCCCUGACUGUAUUGAAAUUCUAACCUACGGGUCUUAUCGACCCGGGAGACAGUGUCAGGUGGGCAGUUUGACUGGGGCGGUCGCCUCCUAAAGUGUAACGGAGGCGCCCAAAGGUUCCCUCAGAAUGGUUGGAAAUCAUUCGUAGAGUGCAAAGGCAUAAGGGAGCUUGACUGCGAGACCUACAAGUCGAGCAGGGACGAAAGUCGGGCUUAGUGAUCCGGUGGUUCCGCAUGGAAGGGCCAUCGCUCAACGGAUAAAAGCUACCCCGGGGAUAACAGGCUUAUCUCCCCCAAGAGUCCACAUCGACGGGGAGGUUUGGCACCUCGAUGUCGGCUCAUCGCAUCCUGGGGCUGUAGUCGGUCCCAAGGGUUGGGCUGUUCGCCCAUUAAAGCGGUACGCGAGCUGGGUUCAGAACGUCGUGAGACAGUUCGGUCCCUAUCCGUCGUGGGCGUAGGAAAUUUGAGAGGAGCUGUCCUUAGUACGAGAGGACCGGGAUGGACGCACCGCUGGUGUACCAGUUGUUCUGCCAAGGGCAUAGCUGGGUAGCUAUGUGCGGAAGGGAUAAGUGCUGAAAGCAUCUAAGCAUGAAGCCCCCCUCAAGAUGAGAUUUCCCAUAGCGUAAGCUAGUAAGAUCCCUGAAAGAUGAUCAGGUUGAUAGGUUCGAGGUGGAAGCAUGGUGACAUGUGGAGCUGACGAAUACUAAUAGAUCGAGGACUUAACCAUAUAA